GAGAAGAGAAGAAAGAAAGUUUUACUUUCUUUACAAUUUGGUCCUUCCACCAAAAAAAUUCACCAUUUUCACUUAGAAAUCAAAAUAAUUUCCAUAGCCAUCAAGAGAGAAAGAUAACAAGGAAACUAUGGGGAGCUAGAAUAUCAAGUUGGAUUCAAGAAAUUGAAGCUGGAGGAGAGAGAAAAUCAAGUUAAAGGUUGAAAUCAAUAGGACAAGGUAAGAACAUUGAGAUUUCAAUAUAUUUUUAAGUUUGAUAUUAUUGAAAUAGCAUGUAAAAGAUGUUAUAGUAGAGUUUUCUUAUAUAAAUUCUUAUGUUCUUGAUAUAUUAGUGAAGAGAAAUCAGUGAAAGUGAUGGGAAAUAUUAUAGAGAAAGGGAAUAAGGAAGUUAUAAACUUAAUAAUUAACAUUUUGCACUAAAACAGUUUUGGACAGCAACAGUAGGUUAAAUUUGAAAAAUCACCAUAAAUUGUGGAAAUGAAAUUAGAGGAUGAAAAAAAUAUGGAAUUAAAGCUUACUGAGCCUAGUUUCUCAUAGAAGAAAUGGUGUAAGUAAUGGAAUUGUAAAUCAUGAGAUAUAAUAGAUUUUGUGAGACAAGGUCAGAAUGAUUUUGGAUUCCCCUGUUCUGAAUUUGGAAAAUCAUAAAAAAAUUUACAAAAAUAAUUAUGGGUUAUAAUUUAUAUGUUUAAAAUCAUUAAAGAGUCUAUUUUCAAUAUAAAUAAACAUGGAUAUCGUCCGAAUUCUGUACAAGGAGAUAAUUAAGUUUUAUCAAAGAAGGGUCGGAACUGUCAGACAGCAGAACAGAGGUGACUUUAAAGAAUAAACUGUACUUAUUGGAUAAACCAAAAACUCUGAAAAUUUUAUGGUAAGAAUAUAUGUGAGUCUAGUUUCAGGGAAAAUUAGCGGAUCCUAAUUUGGAGUCCUGUAGCUUAAGAUAAAAAUAAUUUAGUGGAUAUGACUCAAAUGGACAGUUUUGAAUAAAUUUACAAGUAAAUAGUGAAAUCAUAGAUAAUAUUACUUAUAAGCAUAUUAUAUAAAUUAAGGAUGUGUAAUGGAGAGGAGGAGGAGGAAAAUAUAUAUAUAUUAAGCUAGCAUGGAUAAUUUGCACGUUUUAGGCUCAGGGACUAAAUUGAAUAAAAGUAAAACUUUAAGGGUAAAUUUGUAAAAAUGUAAAAAAAGAUCAAAUUGCAUGAAAUGAAUUGUUUUAUUAUUUAAAUUAGUAAAUUGAAUGAAAUAUUAAUUUAGAUCAAGAUUGGGCGGAAAUUUGAGAAAAAUAGAAAAUUUCUAAAAUGUCCCUGAAUUUUGGUAUUUCUGCAAUUUAGCCUGGUAAGUUCGUAUGAACUAUAUUCUGUAUAAUUUUAAUUGAAGUGAAUGCUAUUUGGUAAUGAAUAUUAUAUAUAUGUGUGUGUUUUAUUAUUGGAAUUGAAUUAUUAUUGGUAAUAUGUAUAAUUAUUUGAUGCAUUGAAAUGAUUAUCGGAAGCUCGAUUGAGUUGGAAACUUGUUGGAGAUAUAUCACAUUAUCCAUUGGUUCUAUCGAUAAUUUUGGAUGAUUUGGUUUUGGUUAUAAUGGCAUGUACAAGUUAAAUUGGUUAACGUUAGCUCAUUAAUGUUUUGAUUUUGAUUGGUUUUAAAUAUGAAUGCUUGAUGAAAAGAAAAGUCUGCAAAUUAAUUAGUAAACUCUGGUAAUGCUCUAUAACCUUAUUCUGGCGAUGGAUAAGGGUUAGGGGUGUUACAAUUGGACCCAAAUGUUUGCUAUGGGUUAAUGUGCUGCUAUGCAUGUAGUAGCAGGGCUUCAUUCCAUGUGGCCCAACUCACUAUCUUUUCUUUGUAUACAACAAAAAAGAACAAUGCUAACCGUUUGAAUUCCCUUAACGGGUUAAGGGUUACGUUUGUCCAAUUACAACAUAAAAUACAAUUGAUACAAUGCACAAUAGACGAACAAUUGAAAAAGACCAAAAUAAAUUUAAAAAAAAUCAGAUAAAAUUACGCAUAACAUAUAGAUAUAAAAUGACCCAAAACAUUUUGACGAUAAGAUUUUAAUCCAAACUUUUUUUUGAAGUGUACCAAAACCUCAUCAAAAUAUAUUUAUAUAAAAAGACUACAUAUUUUUAAAAUGGAAAGCUAUAUAUAAUAAAGUUUUCCUAUUAAAAAAAGACUCAACAUAUUUUUUUAAGGAAAAUGGAAAGACUCAAUAUAUUUAAAUAAAUAAGAAAAGACUCAAUAUAUUAUGGUUAUUUAAUAAAAAGUAUAUUAACAACUCCAUUCUUCUUUCACAAUUCACACAGGGCAGCAUAGAAUAGAAAAUAUAUAUAUAUAUAUAUAUAUAUAUAUAUAUAUAUAUAUAUAUAUAUAUGUAAGUUUAAGACCAAGUCAAAUCAUGUCCAAAGGUGGUUGCAUGUGUUAGGCUUCAAGUUGACUAAUUAAGAAAGAUAAGUCUUUAAUUAAUUAUAAAUCUAGAAACUGUAAGAUUGUCUCUAAUGAAGAUGAGUUGCAGGACUCAAAUAUCCAUUAAUUACAGGAUGAAAAUUUUAGAAGGGCUCUUGGAAGAGUUGGAGAAUCUCCUGAUAGAUCUUCCUAAUUAUGGUAGUACAUGUUCGAUUUCUACUCUCUUUUUCCGCUUUCUCUCACCCCAUUGCAUCAUUGAUUCUAUUAAAUGUGUCAAACGAGUUAUAUUUUGUAAAACCCCUUAACCUCAAACCGUCACCGGAAUAGGGUUAUAAAGUAUUACUGGACCUAUCAGACAAUUUACAAUUAAUAUACAAAUAAUUAUCAAACAUAAUAUAAAAUAAUCUUAAGGUCCCUUAGAUGGACCCUCGAGGCGCAAAAUACGAGUUAAGAGUGAUUCGGGUGUUUAGGGAUAUUUUUUUUUGUGCGAGCUCAAUAUAACCCAUUUAUAAGUGUUUAACCUUCCCUGCAAUUUCAAAUCGAAAUCAAUUCAAAACCAAUAUCACAAUUCAUACAAUUUCAUAUUCAAAUAACCUAAACAUAUUUUUUUAUAACUUAACGUUUCAUUUAUCGUUCAAAUAUUAGAGACCAAUUCUUUACAACCAAAACUUUCAAGACUCUUUAAUAAGGCCGAAGUACAUGUCAUAUUUACUAAAGGAAAAAUACAUCACCGAAGUUAUGCUGAAAUCGAGAUUGAUUUGGACACAGAACCUGGACCUUUGAUUUCUAUUAACCUGCGCACGAAAACAAACCGUACGCUGAGUAUUUUAUACUUAGUGGUAUUAUCAUAAUUCAAAUUAUAACAAUAAUAAUGGAAUAUAAUUAUCAAGUAUAUAACUAUCCAAUUUUUAAAAUAUCAAUUCAUUCUUAAACUUUCAUUAAUUAACAAUAACAAUAUAAUUUUUUUAGCUAUUCUUCAAUUUCAUUCACAUAUCAUAUGUCUCCAUUUCAAUCACUACAUGAACAUUAAGUUCAUGCCUUUCAUUUCCAAUCUCAAUUUCAAUACACAAUUCAAUUUUCUCACAUUUUCAAUAGUUCAAUCAAUCAAAUUCAUUUAAAAUUUUCCCAUUUCGGUUAUUCACCCUAUUAACAAACCCGAACUUUGACGGAUAUAUGAAUUUCAACCCAAACACACCAGUACGGCACAUUGUGCCUAAAACGAUACAUAGUACCUGAUCAGUAUAUGACACAUAAGUGCCUGAAACGACACACGAAGUACCUGAAAUACGACACAUAAAGUUACUAAUCGACAAUGCCGAUAAAUCCCGUACUCUUUUAAAUCCUAUAGCAUGCCAACUAUAUCCAACUUAACCCGACUAGUUAAUAGGGUAUUCCAAAUCUCAAUUAAAUUUUCACUUUCAUACCAAAUUUAAGAUCACUAUUCAAUUUCAAAUUCAAAUUCAAAUCAAUAUACAAUUCAAUUAUACUUACACAUUCACCAUCCAAUCCAAUUCUCAUUCAACUCAAAUAUUAAUACUUACCUUAUACUCAUUUAUUAAACAUAAAAUUUAUAUAAAACAUUUAAUAAAAAGUAAUUUGAACUAUAGUAAUACAAACCGUAAAUCUCCCGUUUUAGUUCUCGAUAGCUUUCUCCUUUCUUUUCGAUGCCGAUGCCUCGGGUUCUUUGUUAGCUACAAAAAUAAUAAUAAUUUACAUUAUUAAUUACAUCUGUAACAGCCCAAUUUUCAGUAGUGUCAGAACAAUGAUUUGAGAUCACUAAAUUCGAUGAAAAAGUUAGAAAUAUUUUUGAAUCAGUGAAUUUUGUGAUUUAAAAGAAAUUAUUAGGUAAAUUGGGUCAAAAACGAGGUAUCGAGACCUCGAUAUCAUAAACUGAGCCGUAAAUAUUUUUAUAAAUAUUUACAGAGUGUCAAUAGGAUAAUAUUAAAGUUUCAUUAAGAAAUUUUAACGUUUCGAUAGUUAAUUAUGAAAAAGGAUUAAAUUGCAAUAGGGAUAAAAGUUUAAUUAUAAAUUAAAGAAAAGUUAAAAGGACCAAAUAGGCAAUUAUGCCUUUUUCCAAAGUUGAGGCGGCAUAAGUAUAAAAAUCUGAGAUUUUUAUGUGUUAAAAAAAUAUUAUUAUAUUAUAGUAAUGAUAAUGUUUUUAUAUUAUAUUAUAUUAUAUAUAUAUAUAAAACAAAAGAAAGAAUAGAAAAAGAAAGAAAAGAAGCAGAAUAGAAGAGACGAAACAGAGAAAGAAACAGAGAGCAAAACAGGCAGAGAAGGAAGGAAAGAAAGAAAGAAAGAAAAAGAAAAAGGGAAAUUUAAGGUUUUAAGGUUCCAAGCUCAAUUGGUAAGUUAAAUUAAGUCUUUUUCUUAUAAUUUUUGAGUUUUUGGAAUCCUAGAGAUAAAUACUACUUGAUUUAUGUUGAUAUUUUGAAAGUUAGUAGAUUGUUAGACAUGAGUUAUGUUGAAUUAAUUGAUGAACUAGAGGUUAAAAUGAUUGAAUUUUAAGUUAGAAAUUAGUAAAAGAUUGAUUUGUAAAAUAAAAUAUAAGUUUUGAAUUGAUAGGGAUUAAAUUGAAAGAAUCCCGAAAUUAGGGAUUUAUGGGGAAAUUGAAGAAUUAAACUGAGUUUAUAGUAAGAAUUAAGAGAGAAUAUAGAGUUAGAAUGGAAAAAUAAAAUUAGUAUUGAUAAGGGAUUAAAUUAGAAUUUGGGUAAAGUUUAGGUAUACGGGAAAUAUUUUAAUGAAAUUGUGUAUUAAUGAUUUUUAAUUGUUUAAUUACGUAGCUAAUGUCGUGCACGAGUCAUUGUCCGAGAAAGGAAAGGAGAAAGUGGACAAGGAGUGACUCGAGAGAAAUUCCGGUUAGUAUUACUAUAAUUCGAAUUUAAUUAUUAAUUGUUAAAAUUUAAAUUAAUAUACAUGAUAAGCAAAUUGAGGUAAGCAUCACGACUGAAUUGAAUGAUAAAUACGUAUUGGUAUUAAAUUUAUUAAUAGCAAUUGUUGAAUUUUGAAUAAUAUGUUUAGUUAAUAAAAAAAAUGAAUAUUGAUAUUGAAUUGUACAUGAAUUUGAUUGGAAAAUGAAUUAAAAAAUAUAUAUAUGAAUGGAAUAAAAGUGAAUUAAAUUGUGAAUAAGUGUGAUAUAUGUGAAUUGCGGAAUAAGUAGUAAAUUGUAAUGACGAAGAAAUGAUAAAUCCUUUUUGAAAUAAUUCUAUAAAGUAUUUAAAUAAAUGAGAUUCAUAUUUAAUGCCCAAGUAGAUGGAAUUUAGAACUACCAGGAUAUUAGUGGCAUGCCAUUAAGGAACUUAUUAAGGAGCUUUAGUGUGCUCUCUGAUUAUUAGCACGUUGGUGCUCUCUGAUUAUUAGCACGUUUGUGCUCUCUGAUAUUUAGCACGUCAGUGCUCUUUGUUUAGCACAUUCGUGCUCUCUGUAUUUGAUCCGUAUAUCCGGGGUGUUCUGUAAAAUCUACUUUGGGCUAAGAUUAUAAGCUGUGGACAAAAGUGAAUCAUUAAUGUGUUAAGGUAAGUCUUAUAAAGUUUAUAUGUACCGUUUUAGGCAUAAUGUGCCGUAUUGGUGUGUUUUGGUUGGAUCCGUGUAUCCGCCAAGAUCUGAGUCAAGUUAAUAGGGGUAAAUGAAUAAUUUUGAUAAUAUAAAUUUUUAUUGAAUGAUCUUGAAUAUGAAUUGAAAUAGCUAUUGUUAAGAAGUGAGAAGUGAAAAUAAAAUAAUUUGAAAGAGUGAAAUAAUAUGUGAAUUUAACUGAAUACAAGUUAUUGAAAUUUAGUUAUGGAUUUAAUGAAUAAAUUGAGUGUUAAAAGAUUUAAAGUACAUAUUGAUUAUAAAUAGAAAUGAUAUAUGAAAUGAAAGAUUAUUGAGUCUAUUUUUAUAGAAAAAUAACGGUUUAGCAAAAAGAAAUUUAUAUUUUAAGAUAUGUGAAUUUUAGUGAGAAAUGGUCAGAUCUAUUUCUGGAGUCCCCUGUUCCGAGUUUAGAAAAUCACUAAAAAUGGUAUAAAAAUAUUUAUGAGUUGUAGUUUAUAUGUGUAGAAUCCUUAUUGAGUCUAUUUUCUAUAGAAAUAAGUGGUAAUAUCAUAUGAAAAUCCUAUAAUGAGAAAAUUUAUUUUUAGUACCAAGGGGUCAGGACAGUCGAGUGAAGAAACAUGGGAGAAUUUAACUAAUAAACUGUACUAAUUGGUCAAACCAAGAAUUCUGAAAAUUUUAUGGUAGAAAGAUAUAUGAGUCUAGUUUCAGGAAAAAUUUACGAAAUUAAAUUUGGAGUUCCGUAGCUCGAGUUAUAAUCAAUUUAGUAACUGCUGCGCGAUUGGACAGAUUACUAUAAACAGUGAAAUUAAUUUUUAAAACGAAUUUUUAUGCCCCGAAUUAGUAAGAUAAGCUAAGUAAUGCCUCGUACUCGAUUCCGGCAACGGUCUCGGGUAAGGGGUGUUACAACAUCACUAAUUUAUAGUAAAUAAUUGAAUUUUAUUCAAUUUAUACCCUAAUUCCAAUUUAAUCCUAAUUAACUCAUUUACUUUUCUAACUCAAUUCAUACUUUAUUUCUAUUCAAUUUCCUUCCAUAUUCUACUUAACUAUCUAAUGUUCAUAAUAAAAUCCUAAUUUAAAACUUCUUUCAAUUUAAUCUCUACAACACAAAACUUAUAGUUUCUUUUACAAUUUAAUCCCUUAAUCAAUUCUAACUAGAAAUUCUAUCAAUUAAACCCCUAAUUCAUCAUUUUGUUCAACAUAAAUUAUAUUCAAAAACCUAAGAACUUUCAAAACUUUAACUUAAAUUCAACAAAAUCUUAUUCUAAAGCUUCUAAAACAUCAAAAUUAAGAGAAAAUGACUUAAUUUGACUUACCUAUUAAAGCUUUAAACCUUCAAACUCUAGUUUUUUCUUUCUUUCUUUUCUCCCUGUUUCGUUCUCUGUUUUGUUUCUUUGUUUCUUUUUCUUUCAUUUAUUUUGUUUAAUUUUUAGUUAUUAUAAUAAUAUAAUAUAAUACAUAUAUACUUAAAUAUUAAGUAAUACAUGUUUUAUUAAUAUAUAUAUGUAUAUUAUUUUUAAACAUAUAAUUACUAUUACCAUACACUUGUCUAUUAGCAUCACUAUUAUUUUUAUUAAUUCAAUAUUUUAAUAUAAAAAUUCGAAUCCGUCAACUCAUAUUCAGGGGUACCUAUUAGAGCACAUAAUCAGGAAGCACUCUCUCGAGCCAUAUAACAGGAUGCUCAUGUGAGCCAUGUAACAGGAAGCUUAUCCGAGCUAUAACAGGAAGCUCAUUAAGCUUAACAGGUAACUCCGGAUAGCCAUAUAACAGGAAGUUCAAGCGAACCACAUCAGGAAGCUCACAAGGAGCCUAUAUCAUGACGCUCAUAAAUAGCUGCGGUAUGUCCGCAUUAUAUGUAGGAUCCAUACCGAUCUUAUAACAUUACGCUCACAAAGAGUUGCGGUAUGACUGUAACACAUGCAUGGUUAAUACCGAUUGGGAUGCUCGCAAGAACUAUAUAAUGGGAAGCUCGAGAGAGCUUAUAACAGGAUGCUCGUAAGAGCUAUGGUGUGUCCGCAACAUAUGCAGAACCACAACCAAUAUGGGAAAUCCUGUUUCCAUCGAAUUUCAUUAAUUCAAACAGGACAUAUUACUUAUCAGGCAUUAUUGAACAUGCGAUCAAUUUCAUAUUUUCAUAGCAUUUAUACAAUUCACAUAUACACGACGUUCAAUUCAAACAUAUAAAUAUACACAAAUAUAUCAGGAAG
rnacentral:lncRNA from 1 species